rnacentral:rRNA from 1 species
CUACGGGAGGCAGCAGUCGAGAAUAAUUCACAAUGGACGAAAGUCUGAUGGUGCAACGCCGCGUGGAGGAUGACGGUCCUAGGACUGUAAACUCCUGUCAUCAGGGAGUAAGACCUGGAGGUUAAUAGCCUACAGGGUUGAUAGUACCUGAAGAGGAAGGGACGGCUAACUUCGUGCCAGCAGCCGCGGUAAUACGAAGGUCCCAAGCGUUGUUCGGAAUCACUGGGCGUAAAGGGAGCGUAGGCUGUACGGUAAGUCAGAUGUGAAAUCCCGGGGCUCAACCCCGGAACUGCAUCCGAUACUGCCGUACUAGAGGAUUGGAGAGGUAGCUGGAAUUCACGGUGUAGCAGUGAAAUGCGUAGAUAUCGUGAGGAACACCAAUGGCGAAAGCAAGCUACUGGACAACUCCUGACGCUGAGGCUCGAAGGCCAGGGUAGCGAAAGGGAUUAGAUACCCCUGUAGUCCUGGCAGUAAACGGUGCGCGCUUGGUGUGAGAGGAUUCGACCCCUCUUGUGCCGGAGCUAACGCGUUAAGCGCGCCGCCUGGGAAGUAUGGUCGCAAGACUAAAACUCAAAGGAAUUGACGG